rnacentral:rRNA from 1 species
UACGAAGGGGGCUAGCGUUGUUCGGAAUUACUGGGCGUAAAGCGCACGUAGGCGGAUAUUUAAGUCAGGGGUGAAAUCCCAGAGCUCAACUCUGGAACUGCCUUUGAUACUGGGUAUCUCGAGUAUGGAAGAGGUGAGUGGAAUUCCGAGUGUAGAGGUGAAAUUCGUAGAUAUUCGGAGGAACACCAGUGGCGAAGGCGGCUCACUGGUCCAUUACUGACCCUGAGGUGCGAAAGCGUGGGGAGCAAACAGG